AUCGCUUCUCGGCCUUUUGGCUAAGAUCAAGUGUAGUAUCUGUUCUUAUCAGUUUAAAACUCUCGUUCCUUUUUAUCCCCAAACUCUGUCUUCAUGUUAUAUUUUGGCUCUGGAGCACAGAGGUCGGUUUGCGACAACGACAUCCCUGUUUGGUGGGACAUCCAGCCACCCUCGAGGGUGUAGCUGCUGUUUCCU